ensembl:lncRNA
GAAAGCCCCCUGCCAGCAGACACAGGACGGGCUCUUGACCAGACCCUUUCCUUCUCCAGGCACUGAAGGAGGACGUGGAGAUGGAGAUGAAAAAACUCCAGAAGGCACAACGGAGGGUCGAAAAGCGCACUGCCCCCAGGAGGAAGAUGACACACAGGGAAGAGCACAUGAGUUCCCUGAUGCAGGAGGCAGUGGCAGUGCGAUUGGAUGAGCAGACGGCAGCACAGAAGCACCCACUUGUAACUACCUGGCUGCGGGCGUUUCUGCUGUUCUUGGGCCUGCUGCAGCUUGUCUUCUUCACCCUGUUUGUGCUGCAGAAGGACAUCCUUCACUGGGUCCUGCCUGGAGAGCUGGCGACUGCCCUUGGCAUCCGUCCACCUAAGCCCGCUCUUUUCUGACCCCACAACAC